rnacentral:rRNA from 1 species
UACGUAGGGUGCGAGCGUUGUCCGGAAUUAUUGGGCGUAAAGAGCUCGUAGGCGGUUCGAUAAGUCGGACGUGAAAUCUCCACGCUCAACGUGGAGGGGCCGUUCGAUACUGUCGUGACUCGAGUCCGGUAGGGGAGUGUGGAAUUCCCGGUGUAGCGGUGAAAUGCGCAGAGAUCGGGAGGAACACCCGUAGCGAAGGCGGCACUCUGGGCCGGUACUGACGCUGAGGAGCGAAAGCGUGGGGAGCAAACAGG